UUUGAUGGCGACCGGCGCACGGGUGAGUAACACGUAUCCAACCUGCCGAUGACUCGGGGAUAGCCUUUCGAAAGAAAGAUUAAUACCCGAUGGCAUAGUUCUUCCGCAUGGUAGAACUAUUAAAGAAUUUCGGUCAUCGAUGGGGAUGCGUUCCAUUAGGUUGUUGGCGGGGUAGCGGCCCACCAAGCCUUCGAUGGAUAGGGGUUCUGAGAGGAAGGUCCCCCACAUUGGAACUGAGACACGGUCCAAACUCCUACGGGAGGCAGCAUG
rnacentral:rRNA from 1 species